AACUGUGCUAUCCUUGCUGUGAGACAAUACCUUCCCCCAGAGCAAGAAUCUGGAUCUGAGAAGAGUUGAUGUGCCCCAUAUACCAGUCAAUACAUGGCCUUCCAUUGUACUUCCUUCCUUGCCUUCUCUCAUGAAGGACUUCUUCCUUCCAUAGGUACAAGCUGUUGAGCAACUUAUGGAGUCUUAAGCAUAGACUGGUUCUGUCUAUUCCAUCUCUUUUGUUCCCUGCCAAGCAUUCAAAAGCAGGAAAGAACCAUUACUGUAUAACAUCUACAGCCCCAUUGCCUCCCUGUUGACUCUAACUGUUGUACUACAGAAGGGGGUACCAAGGCCUUCCCUGGGGCUCAACUGUGGGAAAAAAAAGAUGCUCAUGGGCUACUGCAUUUCUAGCUCUGGGGAGAAAACAUGGUCCUCUAUUUCUAAGAGUUCACAGUCUGAUGACAGAAACAUAAACUGCUAGAACUUGGCUUGAUUAGACAUCAGCAGGUCUCUGCAGAAUGCUUUGAGAACACACGUGAGCAGGAAACCGAUUUUCUCAGAGAGUCAGAGAAAGUUACAAAGAGCAGGUCAUGCCUGCCCUGAGCUGUGAGUCAAAAAUAGCUAGGCAUGGGAGAUGAAGGAGACAUGGUGGGCCAGAAAGGAGCAUUUGCCCAGACAUAGACAUGAAAAAGAAUGGGCAAGUCCCUGACAGGAGACAGGGAAUGAUCCUAGAAAGCCACAAGAGCCCAUGCCUACCCCCUGACUCGUCUGGAACCCUGGGAAGAUGAAGACGCUGAAGAAUAUCAUCAACGGGAAAGAGUGCCAGGGAUCAUGCUGCCAGUCUGAGAGGCUGGAAGACCACGGCUGUGGUAGCAUUAGCCAUCGCUUGUGCAAUACAGCAUCGGAGUAUCCACAAAUUAUCACCGCCAGUUUUCAUUACACAGUCAAGGGAAGCAGAUGCUAGGGAAGUUCACUCAGUAGGCAACAGCAGGAUUAGAACUUACCCUGGGUUCUAUACUCCAAAGGCCAUAGAGGAGAUUAUGACCCAUGAGGACCUCAGUACAGCACCCCAACCUAAAGGAUGAGGAAUCUCCUGAUUCUGGAGCAGACCUACCUCCCCUUCCUUAAUCAUCAGAAGCUCCUCUACAGUAUCCCUGUACUAUCACUCGUUCCUUCCCAUCCUCUGCUUCUUAGAGUAUGUCCGCUCCUUCUUUCAUGGUGUUCCUUAAGCCUUAUAGGGGGUUGAUGUAGCUGUCCCACAUCGGGCUGAGCACUCAGGAAUCACUUUUUCUCAGCCCUUUGGUUUUUUGAGUCUCUGAAUUAACUUCAGCCCACUGCAGAAGCUGAGAGCACCACAGAUCUAUGGUUAUGAAUGCCCAGCAACCAUUAGGCAAAACGUAAAGACCCAAGGCAGAAGGCUGGAAGGGAAGCAGAUGCUUGCACGAUGGGCUGAGCCAUUCUGAACUGCUGUUCCCACCUGUAUGACUCCUGCAUACUGACUGUUAAACAUCCCCAGCCUCAAAAGUUCAGAAGUACGGGUGCAUGUUUCAUAACCUGGAAGGACAUCCAUGGCAAAUCACCAAGGGAUAGAAAGGUUUCUAAGUAAUAUGAAAGACAAGAAUCUGGGGGCAGCAAAGCUGGGUUCUCUGAUGCAGGGUUCUCUCUGGAGACAACUGUGCAAACAUUGACAGGAAUUACAAGUCACCUGAGACCCGAUGGGAAGACAACCCACUCCAUGGUGGCUGACUCAGCGGUUCCCGGGAACUUUGCUCCUCGACAUGUGGACCUGACCAUUGGUUACUUCCUCACAACACAGAAGCUGGCUUCUUCCAGAGCAGGCAAUGUAAGGAUAGAAAGGAAGGUGAACGCAGUGUCCUCUGUGACCUAAUUUCUGAAAUUACAGACUGUCGCUGUCACUUUACUGUUGGAAGUCACUGAGGCCUGUCUACUCAGGUGUGGGGCACUGAACACCACUUCUUGGAAAGCAGAGUCUGAAAGCACUUGUGAGCUGUCACAGGAGCCAUGACAGAGACCUGAGGUCCCCAACACCUUUGGUCUUCCUAAAGGGACCACGUGAGUACAUGGUUCAGUCAGGUUAACUCACCCUGGGUAAAUAUUGAUCAUUAAAAGACAAGAAAAGAGAAAAAGAGAGGGAGAGAUGGGGGAGAGAUUGAAGUAUGAUGUUUUCUCAGGGCCUAUCUGGAAGAAGUGCCACGUGGCUGGACAGCUCAGUGAGUAUUCUCAGGAGGCUGUGGCUCCUUUCUCUCCUGCCCUGCCUUACUUUGUUGUUGUUGUUGUUUUGUUUUAUUUUGUUUUGUUUGUUUGUUUUUUCUUUAUCCUUGAUCCCCUGAUAUUGUACCACAGAAACAUUUUAACAAAUCCGCAUCUCAAAAUCAGCACCGAGAAACUUGAGUUAUGAGAAAAAUGGAUUGUUUGUAUGUUAUAUUUGAGAAAAAACCUCUUGCAUCCCAGGCUAGUCUACAACUCAGUAUGUAGCCCAGGCUAGCCUCAGACAUGAAGCAAUCCUCUCGUCUCAGCCUCAUGAGUGCUGAAAUCCUAGGGAGGAGUCACCACACCUAGCUUAAGACAUGAACUUAAAACCUUGAAGUCACUAACAUGGGCAUGCACAACUUCUCGACGGUUCUGUCUGUGUGCACUGUUUAGACUUCCAAAUUCUAUCCUGGGCCCUUCACCAUCACUCGGACUCUUCCUUAAUGGUGACUGAUAAUGGGGAGCUUCCUUAACCUGGCGAUGUCUGCAGGGAAGAAUUAAGCUCUGAGCCCUGUUGAUUAUUCUAUGCCCUAUACUCUGGACUUCUAUAUUCUAUUCUGGAUUAUUCAUCCAGCCUGGUCCCUAGACUUUCCCACAGGUAACACUGACUUUUCAAGAUAGCACAGCAGCAUCCACAGCUAAAGGCUGCAAUUCCAGCCCUGUUGCUCCAGUCACAAAGUCUCCUGACCUGUGAGCUCUACAUUGUCACCCCAGGCCUCUGUGGAUGUGCUGAUACCUCGGCAAGGCACAGAAGACUUCCAAGUGCAACUGCACAAACUUGCUAGGCCAUGGACAACAAGAACUCAUCCGACUCCCCAUCGAGCCACGUUAAGGAGAAUAUGUGUCUCGAAGCAUCAGUUCCCACGUUCUUCGGUUCCUUCAUAGCUACCUGGAUGUUUCUGCAGAGUCCUGUGGUUCAAACUUAUGACACUCUAAACUGCCUUCUCCCACUACGAGAUCAAUGAACUUAGAAAUCUCUAUCUACACAACACCCUACUUUCAAGACCAUUGCCCAACAAGGAGUUAUCUUGGAGAUUUAAAAUAAACAAUAGUUUCCCUUUUGAGGUGCUUCCUGACCUCUCUGAAACACUAACACCCCUUUGCUUACUGAGAGGAGAGCACAAAUGAACACAAUGUGGAUAUUCAUCCAAAACACACUCGUUCUGUCCCCUUGGAACACGUAAGGCGUUUUCUCAGAAAUGGCCUCGUCGCCAUCAACCCUCUCUGGGGAGCACCAGCAUCUUGCCUGUUAACUGCACCUCCCUCUCUUCCUUCAGAACUCAAUCCCAAAUGCUCAGUUUUCCCUUUUUGGACAGCUCAGUUUGGACCCACUCUUCUGGCUUUGAACUUAGCAAUUUUUCCAGACUGUGACCUCCAGUCUUUAAACACAGAAUAAGAAAGGUUUCUUUCGGGGGUUGGGGAUUUAGC
rnacentral:sRNA from 1 species